rnacentral:rRNA from 1 species
GUCCUACGGGGGGCAGCAGUGAGGAAUAUUGGUCAAUGGACGCAAGUCUGAACCAGCCAAGUAGCGUGCAGGAUGACGGCCCUCCGGGUUGUAAACUGCUUUUAGUUGGGAAUAAAAGGGGGCUCGUGAGCCCCGUAUUGUAUGUACCAUCAGAAAAAGGACCGGCUAAUUCCGUGCCAGCAGCCGCGGUAAUACGGAAGGUCCGGGCGUUAUCCGGAUUUAUUGGGUUUAAAGGGAGCGUAGGCCGGCUUUUAAGUGAGAUGUGAAAUACUCGGGCUCAACUUGAGUGCUGCAUUUUAAACUGG